rnacentral:rRNA from 1 species
AGCGACCGCUUUUGGAGUUCGAUUAAGCCAUGCGAGUAGAAAGAAAUUAGAUUCUUUGCGAACUGCUCAGUAACACGUGGAUAACCUGCCCUAUGCUCUGGAAUAACCUCGGGAAACUGAGAAUAAUACCGGAUAGAUCACAACGCCUGGAACGGUGUGUGGUUGAAAGAUUACGGCAUAGGAUGGGUCUGCGGCGUAUCAGGUUGUAGGGGGUGUAACGGACCUCCUAGCCAUCGACGCGUACGGGUGUUGGGAGACAUAGCCCGGAGAUGGAUUCUGGGACACGAAUCCAGACCCUACGGGGUGCAGCAGGCGCGAAAACUUCACACUGCAGGAAACUGUGAUGAGGGAACUCCAAGUGCGUGCACUUAGUGUGCGCUUUUGUUGACUAUUAAUCGGUCAAUGAAUAAGGGCUGGGAAAGACCGGUGCCAGCCGCCGCGGUAAUACCGGCAUCUCAAGUGGUCGUCGCUUUUAUUGGGCCUAAAACGUCCGUAGCCUGUUUGGUAAAUCUGUGGGUAAAUCAACGAGCUUAACUCGUUGGAUUCUGCAGAGACUGCCAGACUAGGGACCGGGAGAGGUGUGAGGUACUCUGGGGGUAGGGGUAAAAUCCUGUCAUCCUCAGAGGACCACCUGUUGCGAAGGCGUCACACUGGAACGGAUCCGACGGUCAGGGACGAAGCCUAGGGGCACGAACCGGAUUAGAUACCCGGGUAGUCCUAGGUGUAAACGCUGUGGAUUUGGUGUGUGGGGUCCGCAAUGGGCCCCAUGUGCCGGAGUGAAGAUGUUAAGUUCACUGCCUGGGGAGUACGGUCGCAAGGCUGAAACUUAAAGGAAUUGGCGGGGGAGCACUGCAACGGGAGGAGCGUGCGGUUU